GCUUUGUUAAUCAAAUAUAUAGAAGUAUACAUCUUUUAGUUUUAUGUGAAACUGUAUUGGUGUGUGUGUGUUUCUAGAUUCUUUCUUUGAUAUAAACUGUGAUUCUUCUAUAGAAAAUCAAAAGAUAGUUAAGAUUAAGUGGUUACCAGGGAGCCGAAGAAUGUUGGAAUUGAAUAGUAUUAAGUAUAAUUGCUCUAUUUUAAGUUUGAACAGGUACAAUGUAAGAAACAAGAUGGUGGCAGGUCUUGUCUUCUCUACUUUUCUUCUGUUUUGUGGUUUGCAAGUGUUAUUUAUUUACUUCAUCUUACAUUUGGCUUCAGGUAUAUCUUUGCUACUCUCAAGGUAAAAUCCCCUUCUUUAGAUUCAUAAUCAACCGGUUCUGUUAUCAUUUGCAUUCUACCAUGGUUGCUGCAAUAGUAACCUCAUUCUAUUAUUACAGUCAUGAAGUGUAACAACCCGACUUUAAUUAAAAUAAGUAAUAUUAAUUAGAAAUGGUGAUUGAAGUUACUCGAAGAAUUAUUGCUCAAAGUAUGAGAUAGUUCAAAGGCAUAAACAUGUUUUAGUAAUAAGUUGGAGGGUAAAGUGGACAAGUAUCAUUACUAGUAAGACUAGUAUUACAGGUAUGUAUUGGGAGGAAGCAAACAUCAGUAUAGUGAAGACCCAUUCCCUUCUUUCUUCUCUGUCCGUUCAUUCCCUUUCUUAACUCCACCCCACACAAAAAUCCAAAUCUCAACCAAAGAGAAAUGCAUGUGUAGCUUCAGAUUCAUUUGCCCUUCUUCAUGAACUCACCUUUCCCUUGUUUUUCUCUCUCUCAGGCAACGUGAUUCUCUCCUCUCCACACCUUGAACCAGUUUCAUGUGCUCUCAUGGCCAAAGGGUUGCAUGUGUUGGAAACAAUCUUAAUCUGCUGGUUUUGAGUAUUAAAAGCUAAGGUAAAAUUAGUAAUUUCAAUUCCACUCUCUUUCCCUCUUUUUAUGAACCCUAAACUCACCCUUAAAGCCUUCACUCAUUUGGGGUCAAUUGCAUGUACACAUACUCUGUAAAUUGGGGUAAUUGAAAGUGCUAGGGAACUGAUAUUGAAAUGGAGAAAAGAAUUGAAGGUCGGAGCUUGGAAGGACUGUUGAUGGAACAAGAAAACAAGAGGAAUUGCUUAAGUUGUGUAAAAUCCGUAUUUGGGACAGGGCUCCACUCAAACGAGUUAUAUUGAGCUCUAGGCAUGAUUUCGAAGUGGAGGGUCUGAAGCUGAGUUUGUGCAGGAAUAUGGACUGUUCGUGAAGGCAUGCUUUCGAAUUUUGGCUUUAUCAAUGCUUAGCAAUGCAUUUAAUGCUCUGUAAUUCAUAUAUUGAUUAGUUUAAAUGUAAAUUAUAUUUGGAUUUGAAGAUAUCCAUUGUAUUCUAGUAACUUGUAAAGAGAUUUGAGUAGCAUAUUUUCUAACCAAUACUUUUGUAUGGUACCUCUUCGAAUGUCUUAUGUGGUGUUUAAUUAUAAUCAAUGAAAUUUGUUGGCUCUUU